AACCGAAAUGUCAGGGGUUCGAGCCCCCUAUGAGGAGUCCUUGUUAGCUCAGUUGGUAGAGCGUUCGGCUUUUAA
rnacentral:tRNA from 1 species